rnacentral:rRNA from 1 species
GGAACGUGCUGGAAGGUGUGGGAUUGCCCCAGUAACGGCGAGUGAAGCGGCAACAGCUCAAAUUUGAAAUCUGGCCCCCCCGGGGCCCGAGUUGUACUUUGUAGAGGGCGCUUUGGCGUUGGCGCCGGCCUAAGUUCCUUGGAACAGGACGUCACAGAGGGUGAGAAUCCCGUACGUGGCAGGCUGCCUCCGCCGUGUAAAGCCCCUUCGACGAGUCGAGUUGUUUGGGAAUGCAGCUCUAAAUGGGAGGUAAAUUCCUUCUAAAGCUAAAUACUGGCCAGAGACCGAUAGCGCACAAGUAGAGUGAUCGAAAGAUGAAAAGCACUUUGGAAAGAGAGUCAAAAAGCACGUGAAAUUGUUGAAAGGGAAGCGCUUGCAGCCAGACUUGCCUGUAGUUGCUCAUCCGGGCUCUCGCCCGGUGCACUCUUCUGCGGGCAGGCCAGCAUCAGUUUGGGCGGCCGGAUAAAGGCCUCGGGAACGUAGCUCUCUCCGGGGAGUGUUAUAGCCCGUGGCGCAAUGCGGCCAGCCCGGACUGAGGUCCGCGCAUCUGCUAGGAUGCUGGCGUAAUGGCUGUAAGCGGCCCGUCUUGAAACACGGACCAAGGAGUCUAACAUCUAUGCGAGUGUUUGGGUGUCAAGCCCGGGCGCGCAAUGAAAGUGAACGGAGGUGGGAACCCCCCCGGGGUGCACCAUCGACCGAUCCUGAUGUCUUCGGAUGGAUUUGAGUAAGAGCAUAGCUGUUGGGACCCGAAAGAUGGUGAACUAUGCCUGAAUAGGGUGAAGCCAGAGGAAACUCUGGUGGAGGCUCGCAGCGGUUCUGACGUGCAAAUCGAUCGUCAAAUUUGGGCAUAGGGGCGAAAGACUAAUCGAACUAUCUAGUAGCUGGUUCCUGCCGAAGUUUCCCUCAGGAUAGCAGUAACGUUUUCAGUUUUAUGAGGUAAAGCGAAUGAUUAGAGGCCUGGGGGGUUGAAACAACCUUCACCUAUUCUCAAACUUUAAAUAUGUAAAAAAGUCCUUGUUACUUAAUUGAACCUGGACAUUUUGAAUGCACCCGUUACUAGUGGGGCCAUUUUUGGGUAAGCAAAAACUGGGCGAUGCCGGGAUGAAACCGAACCGCGGGGGUUAAAGGUGCCCAGAAUUGCACCCCUCAUUCAGAAACCCACAAAAAGGGUGUUAGGUUCAUCCUGAACCGGCAGGAACGGUGGGCCCAUGGGAAAUUCGGGAAUCCCCCUAAAGAGAAUGUGGUAAAACAACUUCACCUUGGCCCAAAUAGAACUAAGCCCCUGGAAAAAUUGAGAUGGCGGCUUCAAAGGUUGGUUAACCCAAUAACCCCCGCCCCCCCGGGGGCAAGAAAUUUAAUGCCCCUCGUGCCAAAUAAAGACAAGGCCCUGUGGGGUGUCUCUGA